UACGUAGGUGGCGAGCGUUGUCCGGAUUUACUGGGCGUAAAGAGCGCGCAGGCGGUCGUUCAAGUCGCGUGUGAAAGCCCCCGGCUCAACUGGGGAGGGUCACGCGAUACUGAUCGACUCGAAGGCAGGAGAGGGUAGUGGAAUUCCCGGUGUAGUGGUGAAAUGCGUAGAGAUGCGGAGGAACACCGAUGGCGAAGGCAGCCCCCUGGGCUGACACUGACGCUCAGGCACGAAAGCGUGGGGAGCAAACAGG
rnacentral:rRNA from 1 species